CCAGUCUUGCUAGUUGCGACACGCACCAGCUCAGAGCUCAUUAAUGCUGGUGGGCCAUCUACCGCGCAGAAGGAAUGCGCGGGCCCAUGUUGCCAGUCUCAAGGUCCGGAAUCAGGCAACCGUCUCUCGCAUAGCUCAGCCUUAUCCUCCCAGUCCCAGCGCUCGUUCCCUCUAUUGCGUUCAUCUCACCCGCCUGCAUCUCUCGUCCCCUCUGGCUUGUUGAGCUCGAGCGUGCGUCGUCCUUGCGAGGGAGGCCUCCGGCGAAUGCACAAGCUUCUUGACCAAAAGCGUAGCAGCGCGCGAGCCUGCCCAUGGCAGCGUACGAGGGAGCCUGUUGCCAGGAUGCUCGAGGACGCUGGCGCAGGUUCCAUGGACAGAUUUGUUCUCCGAUUUUUCUCCAGGCAGCGGCCGCAGCGGGAAAGAUCCGGGCGGCUGCGGAUGGGGGAGCUCCAGGCGGGCGGGCGGGCGGCUCGGCCUGGUGCAGAGCGGGGGAGCCGUGCAGACGGCGGCGGAGCCAGUCCACUGUCGGGCCCUGAGGGAGCUCUGGCCAGUCCACUGCUGGGCAGCGCCGGCCCCGGAGCCGGACGGCCGGACGGAGUGCGGCGGCUCUCGAUCCCCCGAGGGAGGGGGUCUUUUCCCUUUAAUCCCUCACUUUCCUCUUUUUUCCAACCGAGCCCCCCUAUAUUCAGAAGAAUUGGACUGCGGGUUGAUUCCACGAAAUUCUGAGGGGUUUUUUGCAAAACAAGCGCGACGGACGAAAAUUGUUGGCAGAGACGUUACUCGCUUUAAUAAUAGGUAUAGAUAUAGAUAUAGAUAUAGAUUUAAAAUUUGACUUAAUUAUUUCUUAUUGCUUGAUAUUCGUGUAAUUUCUUUUAAAAAAGUACCGGAGCUGUUCUCGUAUUUUUACACCCUCCAUCAAUGUUUAUAAGCUAUGCUAGAACUUAGCACGGUCUUCCAAAUAAUACUUUUACCAUUCAUUUAUCUUA